AUUGAACGCUGGCGGCCUGCUUAACACCUGCAAGUCGAGCGAGCGGCGGACGGGUGAGUAAUGUAUGGGGACUGCCCUAUAGAGGGGGAUAACUACUGGUCACGGUGGCUAAUACCGCAUACUAUCGGAUACCCCCUAUGGGAUUAGCUAGUAGGUGGUGUAAAGGCUCACCUAGGCGGCGAGCUCUAGCUGGUCUGAGAGGAUGACCAGCCACACUGGGACUGGGACACGGCCCAGAGUCCUACGGAGGCAGCAGAGGGGAAUAUUGCACAAUGGGGGGAAGCAUGAUGCAGCCAUGCCGCGUGUAUGAAGAAGGCCUUAGGGUUGUAAAGUACUUUCAGCGGGGAGACGUUACCCGCAGAAGAAGCACCGGCUAACUCCGUGCCAGCAGCCGCGGUAAUAC
rnacentral:rRNA from 1 species